rnacentral:rRNA from 1 species
GGGUUGUGAGGUUAAGCGACUAAGCGUACACGGUGGAUGCCCUGGCAGUCAGAGGCGAUGAAGGACGUGCUAAUCUGCGAUAAGCGUCGGUAAGGUGAUAUGAACCGUUAUAACCGGCGAUUUCCGAAUGGGGAAACCCAGUGUGUUUCGACACACUAUCAUUAACUGAAUCCAUAGGUUAAUGAGGCGAACCGGGGGAACUGAAACAUCUAAGUACCCCGAGGAAAAGAAAUCAACCGAGAUUCCCCCAGUAGCGGCGAGCGAACGGGGAGCAGCCCAGAGCCUGAAUCAGUGUGUGUGUUAGUGGAAGCGUCUGGAAAGGCGCGCGAUACAGGGUGACAGCCCCGUACACAAAAAUGCACAUGCUGUGAGCUCGAUGAGUAGGGCGGGACACGUGGUAUCCUGUCUGAAUAUGGGGGGACCAUCCUCCAAGGCUAAAUACUCCUGACUGACCGAUAGUGAACCAGUACCGUGAGGGAAAGGCGAAAAGAACCCCGGCGAGGGGAGUGAAAAAGAACCUGAAACCGUGUACGUACAAGCAGUGGGAGCACAGAGCAAUCUGUGUGACUGCGUACCUUUUGUAUAAUGGGUCAGCGACUUAUAUUCUGUAGCAAGGUUAACCGAAUAGGGGAGCCGAAGGGAAACCGAGUCUUAACUGGGCGUUAAGUUGCAGGGUAUAGACCCGAAACCCGGUGAUCUAGCCAUGGGCAGGUUGAAGGUUGGGUAACACUAACUGGAGGACCGAACCGACUAAUGUUGAAAAAUUAGCGGAUGACUUGUGGCUGGGGGUGAAAGGCCAAUCAAACCGGGAGAUAGCUGGUUCUCCCCGAAAGCUAUUUAGGUAGCGCCUCGUGAAUUCAUCUCCGGGGGUAGAGCACUGUUUCGGCAAGGGGGUCAUCCCGACUUACCAACCCGAUGCAAACUGCGAAUACCGGAGAAUGUUAUCACGGGAGACACACGGCGGGUGCUAACGUCCGUCGUGAAGAGGGAAACAACCCAGACCGCCAGCUAAGGUCCCAAAGUCAUGGUUAAGUGGGAAACGAUGUGGGAAGGCCCAGACAGCCAGGAUGUUGGCUUAGAAGCAGCCAUCAUUUAAAGAAAGCGUAAUAGCUCACUGGUCGAGUCGGCCUGCGCGGAAGAUGUAACGGGGCUAAACCAUGCACCGAAGCUGCGGCAGCGACGCUUAUGCGUUGUUGGGUAGGGGAGCGUUCUGUAAGCCUGUGAAGGUGUACUGUGAGGUAUGCUGGAGGUAUCAGAAGUGCGAAUGCUGACAUAAGUAACGAUAAAGCGGGUGAAAAGCCCGCUCGCCGGAAGACCAAGGGUUCCUGUCCAACGUUAAUCGGGGCAGGGUGAGUCGACCCCUAAGGCGAGGCCGAAAGGCGUAGUCGAUGGGAAACAGGUUAAUAUUCCUGUACUUGGUGUUACUGCGAAGGGGGGACGGAGAAGGCUAUGUUGGCCGGGCGACGGUUGUCCCGGUUUAAGCGUGUAGGCUGGUUUUCCAGGCAAAUCCGGAAAAUCAAGGCUGAGGCGUGAUGACGAGGCACUACGGUGCUGAAGCAACAAAUGCCCUGCUUCCAGGAAAAGCCUCUAAGCAUCAGGUAACAUCAAAUCGUACCCCAAACCGACACAGGUGGUCAGGUAGAGAAUACCAAGGCGCUUGAGAGAACUCGGGUGAAGGAACUAGGCAAAAUGGUGCCGUAACUUCGGGAGAAGGCACGCUGAUAUGUAGGUGAAGUCCCUCGCGGAUGGAGCUGAAAUCAGUCGAAGAUACCAGCUGGCUGCAACUGUUUAUUAAAAACACAGCACUGUGCAAACACGAAAGUGGACGUAUACGGUGUGACGCCUGCCCGGUGCCGGAAGGUUAAUUGAUGGGGUUAGCGCAAGCGAAGCUCUUGAUCGAAGCCCCGGUAAACGGCGGCCGUAACUAUAACGGUCCUAAGGUAGCGAAAUUCCUUGUCGGGUAAGUUCCGACCUGCACGAAUGGCGUAAUGAUGGCCAGGCUGUCUCCACCCGAGACUCAGUGAAAUUGAACUCGCUGUGAAGAUGCAGUGUACCCGCGGCAAGACGGAAAGACCCCGUGAACCUUUACUAUAGCUUGACACUGAACAUUGAGCCUUGAUGUGUAGGAUAGGUGGGAGGCUUGGAAGUGUGGACGCCAGUCUGCAUGGAGCCGACCUUGAAAUACCACCCUUUAAUGUUUGAUGUUCUAACGUUGACCCGUAAUCCGGGUUGCGGACAGUGUCUGGUGGGUAGUUUGACUGGGGCGGUCUCCUCCUAAAGAGUAACGGAGGAGCACGAAGGUUGGCUAAUCCUGGUCGGACAUCAGGAGGUUAGUGCAAUGGCAUAAGCCAGCUUGACUGCGAGCGUGACGGCGCGAGCAGGUGCGAAAGCAGGUCAUAGUGAUCCGGUGGUUCUGAAUGGAAGGGCCAUCGCUCAACGGAUAAAAGGUACUCCGGGGAUAACAGGCUGAUACCGCCCAAGAGUUCAUAUCGACGGCGGUGUUUGGCACCUCGAUGUCGGCUCAUCACAUCCUGGGGCUGAAGUAGGUCCCAAGGGUAUGGCUGUUCGCCAUUUAAAGUGGUACGCGAGCUGGGUUUAGAACGUCGUGAGACAGUUCGGUCCCUAUCUGCCGUGGGCGCUGGAGAACUGAGGGGGGCUGCUCCUAGUACGAGAGGACCGGAGUGGACGCAUCACUGGUGUUCGGGUUGUCAUGCCAAUGGCACUGCCCGGUAGCUAAAUGCGGAAGAGAUAAGUGCUGAAAGCAUCUAAGCACGAAACUUGCCCCGAGAUGAGUUCUCCCUGACUCCUUGAGAGUCCUGAAGGAACGUUGAAGACGACGACGUUGAUAGGCCGGGUGUGUAAGCGCAGCGAUGCGUUGAGCUAACCGGUACUAAUGAACCGUGAGGCUUAACCUUACAACGCCGAAG